AAUAGAUACCCUGGUAGUCCACGCCGUAAACGAUGAGUGCUAAGUGUUAGAGGGUUUCCGCCCUUUAGUGCUGCAGCAAACGCAUUAAGCACUCCGCCUGGGUAGUACGGUCGCAAGACUGAAACUCAAAGGAAUUGACGGGGGCCCGCACAAGCGGUGGAGCAUGUGGUUUAAUUCGAAGCAACGCGAAGAACCUUACCAGGUCUUGACAUCCCGUGACAACUCUAGAGAUAGGGCUUUCCCCUUCGGGGGACACGGUGACAGGUGGUGCAUGGUUGUCGUCAGCUCGUGUCGUGAGAUGUUGGGUUAAGUCCCGCAACGAGCGCAACCCUUGAUCUUAGUUGCCAGCAUUCAGUUGGGCACUCUAAGGUGACUGCCGGUGACAAACCGGAGGAAGGUGGGGAUGACGUCAAAUCAUCAUGCCCCUUAUGACCUGGGCUACACACGUGCUACAAUGGAUGGUACAAAGGGCAGCGAAACCGCGAGGUUAAGCCAAUCCCAUAAAACCAUUCUCAGUUCGGAUUGCAGGCUGCAAC
rnacentral:rRNA from 1 species